rnacentral:rRNA from 1 species
GACGAACGCUGGCGGCGCGCCUAACACAUGCAAGUCGAACGGAGUCAAGAGGAGCUUGCUUUUCUUGACUUAGUGGCGAACGGGUGAGUAACGCGUAAGUAACCUGCCCUGGAGUGGGGGACAACAGUUGGAAACGACUGCUAAUACCGCGUAAGCCCACGGAUCUGCAUGGAUCUGCGGGAAAAGGAUUUAUUCGCUCUAGGAUGGACUCGCGUCCAAUUAGCUAGUUGGUGAGGUAACGGCCCACCAAGGCGACGAUUGGUAGCCGGACUGAGAGGUUGAACGGCCACAUUGGGACUGAGACACGGCCCAGACUCCUACGGGAGGCAGCAGUGGGGGAUAUUGCACAAUGGGGGAAACCCUGAUGCAGCGACGCCGCAUGGAGGAAGAAGGUUUUCGGAUUGUAAACUCCUGUCGUUAGGGACGAUAAUGACGGUACCUAACAAGAAAGCACCAGCUAACUACGUG